UAGUAUUCAAUUGUCAGAGGUGAAAUUCUUGGGUUUAUUGAAGACUAACUACUGCGAAAGCAUUUGCCAAGGAUGUUUUCAUUAAUCAAGAACGAAAGUUAGGGGAUCGAAGACGAUCAGAUACCGUCGUAGUCUUAACCAUAAACUAUGCCGACUAGGGAUCGGAUGAUGUUAAUUUUUUAAUGACUCA
rnacentral:rRNA from 1 species